CUGAGGAAGAUUACAAGUGGUAGUCGAAAUACGCGUAUCUGUCAAAGGAUAAGCAACAUAGGACGGAAUUAAAAGGUACGAAACUGAUUACACUCAGUCGAAGGAAAAAUCCGAAGUUUUUGCUUUUAUGGUAAUAUAGGCUUUCUGGUCCAAUCGGUGAGGCAUGUUCCCGAAUCCAAUAACUCUUUCCGAGGUAUUUGUUGUUCUGACGCCCCAUCGUUUAAUAAUAUCGGUAGAGACUCGUAGCUCUGCUGCGGUGCUGUUCAGAUGGGGGGGUCUGUGAGUGCGGCAAUUUAGAGCAUGCACUUAUUUGAUGCAUUUCAUUUUUUUUUGUAUGAUGUGCAAGGAUAAUGAUUCUUCUUAUUUCUUGCACAAAAUUCCCACUGGGACAGAGCCUGUUUCUCAGCUCAGUUGUAAAACAUACAGCAAUAAAUUCCUUUGGAACAAAUCAUGGAGGGUCCUUGAGAUAUGAUACCUUUGGGGAAUCUAAUCAACAAGUUAGAUAUUUUAGAAGAAGUUGGGGAUUCAUAAGGAACAUUGGGGAUUUUUAGGAGAUAUUGGGGAGGGUAAAGGGAACUUAGGAAUCAUGGGGGUCCUUGAAAAUUAAACCUUUGGAAAAUCUAAUCAACAAGUUGGACAUUUUAGGAGAAGUUGGGGAUUCUUAAGGGACAUUGGGGAUUUUUAGGAGAUAUUGGGGAGGGUAAAGGGAACAUAGGAAUCAUGGGGGUCCUUGAGAAAUGAUACUUUUGGGGAAUGUUAUCAUAAAGUUGGACAUUUUAGGAGAAGUUUGGGAUUCUUAAGGAACAUUGGGGAUUUUUAGGAGAUAUUGGGGAGGUUAAAGGAAACUUAUUAAUCAUGGGGGUUUUUCGGAAAUGAUACCUUUGGGGAAUCUAAUCAACAAAUUGGGCAUUUUAGGAGAAGUUGGGGAUUCUUAAGGAACAUUGGGGAUUUUUAGGAGAUAUUGGGGAUUUUUCAGGAACAUUUGGAAUUUUUAGAAGAUGUUGGGGCGGAUAAAGGGAACUUAGGAAUCAUGGGGGUCCUUGAGAAAAUUAUACCUUUGGGGAAUCUUAUCUACAAGUUGGACAUUUUAGGAGAAGUUGGGAAUUCAUUAGGAACAUUGGGCAUUUUUAGGAGAUAUUGGGGAUUUUUAGGAGAUAUUGGGGAUUUUAAAGGAUCAUUGGGGAUUUUUAGAAGACAUUGGGGAUUUUUAGAAGACAUUGGGGAUUUUUAAGGAACGUUGGGGAUUUUCAGGAGAUAUUGGGGAUUUUUAAGAAACAUUAUGGAUUUUAAAGGAACGAUGGGGAUUUUUAGGAGAUAUUGGAGUGGGUAAAGGUAACUAAGGAAUCAUGGGGGUCCUAGGGAUAUGAUACCUUUGGGGAAUCUAAUCAACUAGUUGGAUAUUUUAGGAGAAGUUGGGGAUUCAUAAGGAACAUUGGGGAUUUUUAGGAGAUAUUGGGGAGGGUAAUGGGAACUUAGGAAUCAUGAAGGUGCUUGGGAUAUGAUACCUUUGGGGAAUCUAAUCAACAAGUUGGCCAUUUAAGGAGAAGUUGGGGAUUCUUAAGGGACAUUGGGGAUUUUUAGGAGAUAUUGGAGAGUGUAAAGGGAACAUAGGAGUCAUGGGGGUCCUUGAGAAAUUAUACCUUUGGGGAAUCCAAUCAACAAGUUGGAUAUUUUGGGAGAAGUUGGGGAUUCUUAAGGAACAUUGGGGAUUUUUAGGAGAUAUUGGGGAGGGUAAAGGGAACUUAGGAAUCAUGGGGGACCUUGGGAAAUGAUACCUUUGGGGAAUCUAAUCAACAAGUUGGCCAUUUAAGGAGAAGUUGGGGAUUGUUAAGGGACAUUGGGGAUUUUUAGAAGAUAUUGGGGAUCAAUCAACAAUCCAAUCAACAAGUUGGACAUUUUUGGAGGUAUUGGGGAUUUUUAAGGAACAUUGGGGAUUUUUAGGAGAUAUUGGGGAGGGUAAAGGGAACUAAGGAAUCAUGGGAGUCCUUGGGAAAUGAUACCUUUGGGAAAUUCAAUCAACAAGUUGGACAUUUUAGGAGAUAUUGGGGAUUUUAAGGAACUUUGGGGAUUUUUUGGUGAUAUUGGGGCGGGAAAAGGGAACUUAGGAAUCAUGGUGGUCCUUGGGAUAUGAUACCUUUGGGGAAUCUAAUCAACAAGUUGGAUAUUUUAGGAGGUAUUGGGGAUUCUUAAGAAACAUUGGGGAUUUUUAGUAGAUAUUGGGGAAUUUUAAGGAACAUUGGGGAUUUUAAAGGAACAUUGGGGAUUUUUAGGAGAUAUUGGGGCGAAAAAAGGAAACUUAGGAAACAUGGGGGUCCUUGGGAAAUGAUACCUUUGGGGAAUCUAAUCGACAAGUCGGACAUUUUAGGAGAAGUUGGGGAUUCUUAAGGAACAUUGGGGAUUUUUAGAAGAUAUUGAGGAGGGUAAAGGGAACUUAGGAAUCAUGGGGGUCCUUGGGAAAUGAUACCUUUGGAGAAUCCAAUCAACAAGUUGGACAUUUUAGGAGAUAUUGGGGAUUUUUAGGAGAUAUUGGGGAUUUUUAUGGAACAUUGGGGAUUUUUAGGAGAUAUUGGGGCGGGUAAAGGGAACUUAGGAAUCAUGGGGGUCUUUGGGAUAUGAUACCUUUGGGGAAUCUUAUCCACAAGUUGGCCAUUUUAGGAGAUAUUGGGGAUUUUUAAGGAACAUUGGUGAUUUUUAGGAGAUAUUGGGGAGGGUAAAGGGAACUUAGGAAUCAUAGGGGUCCUUGGAAUAUGAUACCUUUGGGGAAUCUAAUCAACAAGUUUGAUAUUUUAGGAUAAGUUGGGGAUUCUUAAGGAACAUUGGGGAUUUUUAGGAGAUAUUGGGGAGGGUAAAAGGAACUCAGGAAUCAUGGGGGUCAUUGGGAAAUGAUACCUUUGGGGAAUCUAAUCGACAAGUCGGACAUUGUUGGAGAAGUUGGGGAUUCUUAAGGGGCAUUGGGGAUUUUUAGGCGAUAUUGGGGAGGGUAAGGGGAACUUAGGAAACUUGGGGGUCCUUGGGAUAUGGUACCUUUGGGGAAUCUUAUCAUUAAGUUGGACAUUCUUGGUUAUUUUAGUGAUUUUUAAGGAACAUUGGGGAUUUUUAGAAGAUAUUGGAGAGGGUAAAGGGAACUUAGGAAUCAUGGGGGUCCUUGGGAUAUGAUACCUUUGGGGAAUCUAAUCGGAGGGUAAUCGGAACUUAUGAAUCAUGAGUGUCCUUGGGAAAUGAUACCUUCGGGAUUCGUUAGAUUUUGUUGGACAUUUUAGGAGAAGUUGGGGAUUCUUCAGGAACAUUGGAAAUUUUGAGGAAACAUUGGGGAUUUUUUAAGGAAUAUUGAGGCUUUUUAGAAGAUAUAGGGGUUUUUUAAGGAACUUUGGGGCUUUUGAGGAGAUAUUGGGAGGGUAAGGGGAACUUGAGAAUUAUGGAGGUCUGCAUGGGAAAUAAUACCUUUGGGGAACAUAAGCAACAAGUUGGUCAUUUUAGCAGAAAUAGCGGAUUUUAUUAGAAACAUCGAUAAUUUUUAGGAGAUAUUGGAGAGGUUACAGGAAACAUAGGAAUCAUGAAGGUCUUCUUGAGGAAAAAUGCCUUUGGGAAAUCUAUCGAAUAAGUUGGACGUUUUAGGAGAAGUUGGGGAUUUUUAAGGAACAUUGAGAAUUUUUAGGAGGUAUUGGAAAUUUUUAAAGGAAGGUUGUGGAAUUUUAGGAAAUAUUGGUUAGGGUAUAGGGAACUUAGGAAUAAUUUGCGUCCUUGGGAAAUGAUACCCUUGAGGAAUCUAUACAACAAGUUGGACAUUUUAGAAGAAGUUGGGGAUUCUUAAGGAGAUAUUAGGAAUUUUUAAAGGAAUGUUUGGGAUCAUUUCCCAAGGACCCCUAUGAUUCCUAAGUUCCCUUUACCCUCCCCAAUAUCUCCUAAAAAUCCCCAAUGUCCCUUUAGAUUCCCCAACUUCUUCUAAAAUAUCCAACUUUAUGAUUAAAUUCCCCAAAGGUAUCGUUUCCCAAGGACCCCCAUGAUUCCUAAGUUCCUUUUACCCUCCCCAAUAUCGCCUAAAAAUCCCCAAUGUCCCUUAAGAAUCCCCAACUUCUCCUAAAAUAUCCAACUUUAUGAUUAGAUUCCCCAAAGGUAUCGUUUCCCAAGGACCCCCAUAAUUCCUAAGUUCCCUUUACCCGCCCCAAUAUCUCCUAAAAAUCCCCAAUGUUCCUGAAGAAUCCCCAAUAUCUCCUAAAAAUCCCCAAUGUUUCUUAAGAAUCCCAAACUUCUCCUAAAAUGUCCAACUUUAUGAUUAGAUUCCCAAAGGUAUCGUUUCCCAAGGACCCUCAUGAUUCCUAAGUUCCCUUUUCCCGCCCCAAUAUCUCCCAAAAAUCCCCAUCGUUCCUUAAAAAUCCAUAAUGUUUCUUAAAAAUCCCCAAUAUCUCCUGAAAAUCACCAACGUUCCUUAAAAAUCCCCAAUGUCUUUUAAAAAUCCCCAAUGUUCCUUUAAAAUCCCCAAUAUUUCCUAAAAAUCCCCAAUAUCUCCUAAAAAUCCCCAAUAUCUCCUAAAAAUGCCCAAUGUUCCUAAUGAAUUCCCAACUUCUCCUAAAAUGUCCAACUUGUAGAUAAGAUUCCCCAAAGGUAUAAUUUUCUGAAGGACCCCCAUGAUUCCUAAGUUCCCUUUAUCCGCCCCAACAUCUUCUAAAAAUCCCCAAUGUUCCUUAAAAAUCCCCAAUAUCUCCUAAAAAUCCCCAAUGUCCCUUAAGAAUCCCCAACUUCUCCUAAAAUGUUCAUUUUGGUGAUUAGAUUCUUCAAAGGUAUCAUUUCCUAAAGACACCCAUGAUUCCUAAGUUUCCUUUACCCUCCCCAAUAUAUCCUAAAAAUCCCCAAUGUCCCUUAAGAAUUCCCAACUUCUCCUAAAAUGUCCAACUUGUUGAUUAGAUUUUCCAAAGGUAUAAUUUUCAAGGACCCCCAUGAUUCCUAAGUUCCCUUUACCCUCCCCAAUAUCUCCUAAAAAUCCCCAAUGUCCCUUAAGAAUCCCCAACUUCUUCUAAAAUGUCCAACUUGUUGAUUAGAUUCCCCAAAAGUAUCAUUUCCCAAGGACCCCCAUGAUUCCUAAGUUCCCUUUAACCUCACCAAUAUCGCCUUAAAAUCCCCAAUGUCCCUUUAGAAUCCCCAACUUCUCCUAAAAUGUCCAACUUUAUGAUAAAAUUCCCCAAAGGUAUCAUUUCUCAAGGACCCCCAUGAUUCCUAUGUUCCCUUUACCCUCCCCAAUAUCUCCUAAAUAUCCCCAAUGUCCCUUAAGAAUCCCCAACUUCUCCUUAAAUGGCCAACUUGUUGAUUAGAUUCCUCAAAGGUAUCAUAUCCCAAGCACCCCCAUGAUUCCUAAGUUCCGAUUACCCUCCCCAAUAUCUCCUAAAAAUCCCCAAUGUUCCUUAUGAAUCCCCAACUUCUCUUAAAAUAUCCAACCUGUUGAUUAGAUUCCCCAAAGGUAUCGUUUCCCAAGGACCCCCAUGAUUCCUAAGUUCCCUCUUCCCGCCCCAAUAUCUCCUAAAAAUCCCCAAUGUUCCUUAAGAAUCCCCAACUUCUCCUGAAUUAUCCAACUUGUUGAUUAGAUUCCCCAAAGGUGUCACUCAAUGACCCCCAUGAUUCCUAAGUUCCCUUUACCCUCCCCAAUAUAUCCUAAAAAUCCCCAAUGUUCCUUAAGAAUCCCCAACUUCUCCUAAAAUGUCCAACUUGUUGAUUAGAUUCCCCAAAAGUAUCAUUUCCCAAGGACCCCCAUGAUUCCUAAGUUCCCAUUACCCUCCCCAAUAUCUCCUAAAAAUCCCCAAUGUUCCUUAUGAAUCCCCAACUUCUCCGAAAAUAUCCAACUUGUUGAUUAGAUUCCCCAAAGGUAUCGUUUCCCAAGGACCCUCAUGAUUCCUAAGUUCCCUUUUCCCGCCCCAAUAUCUCUUAAAAGUUCCCAAUGUUCCUUAAGAAUCCCCAACUUCUCCUGAAAUACCCAACUUGUUGAUUAGAUUCCCCAAAGGUAUCACUCAAUGAUCCCCAUGAUUCCUUAGUUCCCUUCACCCGCUCCAAUAUCUCCUAAAAAUCCCCAUCGUUCCUUAAAAAUCCAUAAUGUUUCUUAAAAAUCCCCAAUAUCUCCUUAAAAUCCCCAAUAUCUCCUAAAAAUGCCCAAUGUUCCUAAUGAAUUCCCAACUUCUCCAAAAAUGUCCAACUUGUAGAUAAGAUUCCCCAAAGGUAUAAUUUUCUCAAGGACCCCCAUGAUUCCUAAGUUCCCUUUAUCCGCCCCAACAUCUUCUAAAAAUCCCCAAUGUAUCUUAAAAAUCCCCAAUAUCUCCUAAAAAUCCCCAAUGUUCCUUAAGAAUCCCCAACUUCUCCUAAAAUGCCCAACUUGUUGAUUAGAUUCCCCAAAGGUAUCAUUUCCGAAAACCCCCAUGAUAAAUAAGUUCCCUUUACCCUCCCCAAUAUCUCCUAAAAAUCCCCAAUGUCCCUUAAGAAUCCCCAACUUCUCCUUAAAUGGCCAACUUGUUGAUUAGAUUCCCUUAAGGUGAAACAUCAAGAAAUCCCAUUGCAAUUUUUCAUACAAACUUUAGAGGCACAAAUCUGACGAACAAAGCAUCGAGCUAAACCGCACUUGUUUUUCCUGGCUUUGCUCACUUGCAAAAAGAGGCAGCUUUUACAAAUCGAGAGCAUUUGUUUACGAAUUUUCAAGAUUGGUGCUCUUGAAAACGUGAGUAGGGGACCAAGUCGGCCAUUGUGGCAGCCAUGUUUGUAUUCUCUGAAGUUUCUCCUUAAGGUAUCAUAUCCCAAGCACCCCCAUGAUUCCUAAGUUCCCAUUACCUUCCCCAAUAUCUCCUAAAAAUCCCCAAUGUUCCUUAUGAAUCCCCAACUUCUCCUAAAAUAUCUAGCUUGUUGAUUAGAUUCCCCAAAGGUAUCAUAUCCCAAGGACCCUCCAUGAUUUGUUCCAAAGGAAUUUAUUGCUGUAUGUUUUACAACUGAGCUGAGAAACAGGCUCUGUCGCAGUGGGAAUGUUGUGCAAGAAAUAAGAAGAAUCAUUAUCCUUGCACAUCAUAUGUGCAUGCUCUAAAUUGCCGCACGCACAGACCCCCCCAUCUGAACAGCACCGCAGCAGAGCUACUCUCUAAAAUAAAAGCUCUCAUUUUUGAGUAGCGCCCAUGCCGCACAGGGACUGUGUUGGAAACACACAUUUUUUAAAUUGCUCGUACGCUCACAUUUUUGCAAAAUAUCAAUAUUUUUCGGUAUUUGAAGGUGGUUUAUAAACUCAGUGAGGUUGCCAUGUCGAAAUUAUUGCAAAAUACAUGCUCAUGUGAGCGUACGAGCAAUUUUAAAAAAAUGUGUGUUUCCAACACAGUCAUGUGCGGCAUGGAUGUUUACUAAAAAUGUGCAGGCCGAACACAUUUUUGAGCGUAGCCGUUUUUGCAUGUACGAGUGCGAAGGAUUUAAAUGGUUGCUCUUGUAAAUACACUUUCGUCGGUGCUUUCCUUUCGCUCCGUCGAAAAACAAGUUAACUGCACGUCGCACUUAGUAUGCGCAAAUCCAAACUCCGCUUCGAAUGAUUCCACAGGCGGAGAUGUGACGCGACAAAGAGCGAGCUCGUUUUCUGUAUACAAUGACAUCACCAGCAGCCAAGCCAGCAGCAGUAGUCGUCCUCAUGCCGUCGAGCAACACCACACGAACGCACGACGGAUAGGGUGAUGACCAUUGUUUUGGCAUGAAGUUAAUGCAAUUUGGAACGUUAUUUUCAAAAACAUUUUUUGGCUUAACUACAAGAGAUAGAGUUUUGGUGUCAAAGAAACAUUUUUAGGGAACAAGUUCGUGCAUGUUUUGUAGAAGAACUUUUUUAACAAAAGCUUUAUUUUUAUAUUUAAAUCAUCAAAAAUGUCCAAAAAAGAGUCGAUUUUUCCGACCAAUUUUGCACUAUUUUUCAAUUUAAGGCCUUUUAAACUAUUUUUACAAAGUUUACGUCCAAGAGACUAAGAAAGUAGAAGUUAUUAGCUUUCAAUUCGUGCGCUGACAAAGUUUGUACGAUUGAUAGUUUAGUAGAUACAGGACUUCAAAGAUAACCAAAAAUUAAAAGCUUAAAAUGUGAUUUACUCACUUAGCAGUGAUUUCCGACCCUAUGUUCCAUGGGAACUUUUUCAUCUCUCAUCAAGACCUAUCAGCCCUGAAAAUAUCCAAAACGCGGAACCAAACACCCUGUAUUCUUACAAAUUCGGUGCUUUAGUCCAUUCUAUGACCUCCUCGCUGUAGCUACUCAUCUUCACUUCUGAUUGAACAACUUUACUUUUUGCUAUAUAGAGACCAAUUGUUACACUAGGAGUGCUAAAGUUUAAAUAUAAUUAAUCUUUCAAGGUAAAAAAAUCAGAUGCGUUUUCAUACGCAACACUCCUCCCCGUAACACUUCUACUUGCAGAAGUUUUACAUCUUAUUUGAAAUUUUGAAUUUGUAUAUAAACAUGAUUACUACAGCAAUAGGAAACAAUCAAACCAAUGAUUUUUCAAAGUAAGAAUUGUCAGGGGAAACAACGCAAUUUUUUAGAUUGAGAUCCGGAAAUUCCAAAAGUCAAUUAUUAUCUUUAUUAAAAUGAUUUUCAGCACAGUUAUUGACUGGUUCGUCUCAGUUUUAGAAAGUAAAAAUUCGACGGGGAAUUUUGUCCCAUUGUUUCCUAUUGAAAAUGGAUCAGAUUGGUCCAGCCGUUUCAGAGUUAUAGCCAUUUAGGUGUUCCGGGGGGAAGGGGUCAGACAUGAAAAUGCAACAAACUAAUACGACCCAUCGAUCAACGGUAUGUUCGAUAAUCUGGUUAACAGUAAGCGGGAAAAUAGUAUCAGGCUAUAUCUGAACCGGUAGUGUUCCGGAACCGGUUCCGGGUGUCCCGCCGGAAAUGGUCAAAUUUAAAAGCGAACCAAACACAUAGAAAUCUCAGCUUUUUCUAUAGCCUGAGGAAAAUAGUCUCAAACCAUAUCUGAACCGGUAGUGUUCCGGAGCUGGUUCCGGGUGUCCCGGAUGAAGUGUCCAAAUAUGAAAGUUAAACAAACCUUUGUAUGCGACAUAUCAAAUCAUGGCUUUUUUAAAUACCUGAUAAACGGUAAGCAGUUUGGUAAGCAGGAAAAUAGUAUCAGACCAUAUCUGAACCAGUUGUGUUCCGAAACCGGUUCCGGAUAUCUCGCCGGAAGUGGCCAAAUAUAAAAGUGAACAAAACUCAUACAUGCCAACCCCCUGAAGAAAGCGUUAGUUCUUGAAGUCACCACCUUUAAUGUGGCGCCACAGGUUUGUUUGCGAAAUUUCAGUCUGCUGAUCAAUCUGCUACGUGCGGAAGUGAACUUUGUCGUAAGAAGAUAAAUUCGUGAUCGAGAAACGAUCAUUUUCAUGUAUUGUUCAAUGCGUAUAGUGUUCCUUAUUAAAAUGACAAGGCGCACACGUAUCAAAAUACAAUUAGCUCACUCAAAACAGCUUUGCUGUACGAAGAUAAAUUCGUGAUCGAGAAACGAUCAUUUCCACACGUAUUGUUCAUUUCAUUUAGUGUUUCUUGCUAAAUUUACAAGGUGCACAAGUAUAAAAAUACAUUUAGCCCAUUUAAAACAACGCUGAAGUCCAUAAAAUGUAAAUGUCGUGCCUUAUCCAGCGGAAUAAAUGACUGCGUUUUCAGCUGAAUGCAAUCGCCCAUUCAAAUCAGCUCCACGUCCAGCACCAAAUUUUUGGCUUCACUCCAGUUGUAUGUGGAUGACAGCCGUUUCAGGAGGUUGAUGCAUGCGACACAUCAAAUCGUGGACUGUUCGAUAACAUUAUGUACGGUUGGCAAGAAAAUAGGCUCAGACUACACUAAAAACUACAGGUAAUGUUCCGGAAUCGGUUCCUGGUUUCCCGUUGAAAGAGUCCAAAUAUAUAAGUGAUCCAAACCCGUGCAUGCAACUCAUUAAAUUGCGGCUCUUUAGAUAAUCUGAUUACGGCCAGCAAUAAAUAGUUUAAGAUCAUAUUUGGGAUAACUGUAAUGUUCCGGAACCGGUUCCGGGUGUCUCGCCGAAAGUGGUCGAAUCUAAACGCGAGACAAUAUUCACGACACAUAAAAUGGCUUUUUCAAUAACCUUAUGAACUGUUAACGGUUAACAAUCUCAGAUAAUAUUUGGGAAAACUAAUACAUAGUGCCCCGGAAUCAAUUCCGGGUGUCCCACCGGAAGUGGUCAAAUGCAGAAAAAAAAUCAAACCCAUGUAUGCGACACAUCAAAUCUCGGCUUUUUCGAUAAACUGAUGAACGGAUUAAAAAAAAAAGCCUCAGAUCACAUUGGAGACUACCGAUAGUGUUGCACAACCGGUUCCGGGUGUCCCGCAGAAAUUGUUCAAAUGUUAAAAUGACCCAAACCUAUGCUUGCGGUACAUCAAAUCGUUUUUUUUUUCAGUAACCUGACCAGUUGUGGCCACAAGUUUUUUGAUAUCCUGAUGAAUGGUUAGCAAGAAAAUAGACUCAGACUAUAUUAGAGACAGCCGGUGGUGUUGCACAAGCUGUGUUGAGUGCUUCGCCGGAAUUAUGAAAGGCUGAUAUUUUCAGCUCUGCCCAUAUGUUAAACAUACAUAAGUGCCUUCAAUAAGUUUCCCAAUUCGAUUAUGACUUUGAAAGAAUUCUUGCUUAUACAGUUUACAGUACACUGUCACCUUUAGGUGGAUUAAUCUAAGUUUUUUUUUUCAGUUGCAUCCCCUCUGGAAGAAAUACAUAUUAAAUUACUAAGAAAAAUAAAAAAAUCGGUUCCAACGAAUAGAUGGGAAAACGCAUUGGCCAAAUUUGCAUACUCAUAUUCGAAUCAAGAUGCAUGGGAACUCGAGCGAUUUGGAUACAAAAAUUCAAGCAUUGCUGUCAAACUACGUGUUCUAAAGGCUCUGUUGGAGGCACAGUUUGACCGCAACGUUAAAUUCAAAAGUCACAUCAACGGUAUUGAGGCAGAGCAGCUACGUUCUGAGCCAAUUGGCAGAGACAAAUUUGGUAACACGUAUUGGUGUAUCUUGGACCGUCAGUGCAAUGUCCAAAUAUUUUGCGAAAAUCUUGACGAUGAAGCUUGGAAGGUAGUGGCAAGGUAAUUUGGUAUUUCAUUCUCUUUGGUUUCUCCGUCGGGUGUAAGAUCACUUUUCUUAGGUUAAUACAAGCAUAAAGCUGUUAGUACAAGGGGCCAAAUAUUUGUCCAAAAAGAAACCAAUGCUCAAAUAUAUUGUUUGACUAGAUCGAA